AUUGAACGCUGGCGGCAUGCUUUACACAUGCAAGUCGAACGGUAACAGCACUUCGGUGGCUGACGAGUGGCGAACGGGUGCGUAAUACAUCGGAACGUGCCUAGUAGUGGGGGAUAACUACUCGAAAGAGUAGCUAAUACCGCAUGAGAUCUAAGGAUGAAAGCAGGGGACCUUCGGGCCUUGUGCUACUAGAGCGGCUGAUGGCAGAUUAGGUAGUUGGUGGGAUAAAAGCUUACCAAGCCGACGAUCUGUAGCUGGUCUGAGAGGACGACCAGCCACACUGGGACUGAGACACGGCCCAGACUCCUACGGGAGGCAGCAGUGGGGAAUUUUGGACAAUGGGCGCAAGCCUGAUCCAGCAAUGCCGCGUGCAGGAUGAAGGCCUUCGGGUUGUAAACUGCUUUUGUACGGAACGAAAAGCCCUCUUCUAAUACAGGGGGGUCAUGACGGUACCGUAAGAAUAAGCACCGGCUAACUACGUG
rnacentral:rRNA from 1 species